rnacentral:rRNA from 1 species
GAUGAACGCUGGCGGCGUGCUUAACACAUGCAAGUCGAGCGAAAAGACCCGGAGUUCACGCUCCUCACGUGGCCGACGGACGGGUAAGAAACGGGUGAUCAACCCUCCAUUACGCCUGGAUCAAUUUCGGCAAACUGUAGUAAAUGCUGGUAAACAUUUUGAACGGGAUGGUUCAAAAGUGAAUGCGGUUUUUGCUGACCUUUCGGCAUGUUCCCGCGCAGCAUGAGCAAUUUGGUAAGGUAACGGCUUACCAAGGCAAGGAUGCGUGGCCGACCGGAGAGGGUGAACCGCGACACUGGAACUGAGACACGGUCCAGACUCCUACGGGAGGCAGCAGUAGGGAAUCUUCGGCAAUGGGCGAAAGCUUGACGGAGCAACGCCGCGUGAGUGAUGAAGGUCUUCGGAUCGGAAAACUCUGUUAUUAGGGAAGAACAAAUGUGUAAGGAACUAUGCACGUCUUGACGGUACCUAAUCAGAAAGCCACGGCUAACUACGUG